rnacentral:rRNA from 1 species
UACAGAGGUCUCAAGCGUUGUUCGGAUUCAUUGGGCGUAAAGGGUGCGUAGGUGGCGUGGUAAGUCGGGUGUGAAAUUUCGGAGCUUAACUCCGAAACUGCAUUCGAUACUGCCGUGCUUGAGGACUGGAGAGGAGAUUGGAAUUUACGGUGUAGCAGUGAAAUGUGUAGAGAUCGUAAGGAAGACCAGUGGCGAAGGCGGGUCUCUGGACAGUUCCUGACACUGAGGCACGAAGGCCAGGGGAGCAAACGGG